UAUAUAGGUGCAUUCCUUUAAGUAACAUUAAUAUGGUGAUAUAACAAGGAACGCACGUUAUCACAUGGAAGCAACUGCACCUGCAACUAGAAACACUAUCCAAUGGUUAAGCAAGCGGUAACAUAGCCAAUCAGUGGUUUGCUAGGUUGUAGAAAGGUUGAGGGUUUUCAUGGCAGUGUUGAGAGGCUGACAUUUAACAGGUGGUAGGCAACGAGACAUAACGAAAGAAACGAGACAACUAGCAUGGCAUUGAUAGUAAUGAUAUCUAGGAAAAUGGUCAUCUUGCCUGAGAUCCCGUUUGGAAGAAGAACGAAUCCAUGAAGCGGAUGAACCGACGUAGUCGAACGUAUUCUCACAUUCCGACAAGUUUACGGAACUCUAUCGAGACGAAGCAAACCGGAAACAAGAAGCAACACACGAUAUUCACCACGGGACAUGCACGAUAUGAUGCACAACGAAACAUGAUGCAUGUCCAUCUCAAUUAUGCAAGGCGUGGCAUGAUAAUUCACAUAAUCAAACACUACAUAUUAAGUGAAGCUCAAUAUGCAACGAGUUGCAUAUUGAUGAAACUCCACAUACGAAUUAUUUAGUUCACUCCCGUUUAGGUACACAACAAUAUUAAAUGUUGUUUAAACAUGACAAGAGGUGAAUCAUGUGAUUCUACACGACAUUCUAGUCGAUUUACCUAUAUAACUCAUCUCC
rnacentral:lncRNA from 1 species